rnacentral:rRNA from 1 species
UACGUAGGUGGCAAGCGUUGUCCGGAUUUACUGGGCGUAAAGGGUGUGUAGGCGGAAUUUUAAGUAGAAAGUGAAAGGUUGGAGCUCAACUCCAACACUGCUUCCUAUACUGGAAUUCUUGAGUCUCGGAGAGGAAGAUGGAACGACACGUGUAGCGGUGAAAUGCGUAGAUAUCGAGAGGAACACCAGUGGCGAAGGCGAGUCUCUGGACGACACCUGACACUGAGGCACGAAAGCUAGGGGAGCAAACAGG